GACCACAAAGAGAAUCGAAGUAGACAUGUCUCGAGUAGCUGAGUUCUUCUUCCUUCUUAUUACUGUCAUUUGCAUGUCAGGAUGGAUUAUAACACCCGCUGAAGCAUGUGCUCGUGAAGUAAACUGUGAUUUCCCCUUGAUGAGAGUGCUCUGCCCGACUGUAUGUUCAGGAAAAUGAUUUGAAGAGGCUUGAAAGUUUACGUCAUUGACGUCAACGUGGAAGUACUGCACAUUUUAUAUUAAGACUGGAUUAUUACAAAAUUCUUGAUCCUUCUACGAAAACGCAGUAUUAAGUAUAA